GGCACCUCGAUGUCGGCUCAUCACAUCCUGGGGCUGAAGUAGGUCCCAAGGGUAUGGCUGUUCGCCAUUUAAAGUGGUACGCGAGCUGGGUUUAGAACGUCGUGAGACAGUUCGGUCCCUAUCUGCCGUGGGCGCUGGAGAACUGAGGGGGGCUGCUCCUAGUACGAGAGGACCGGAGUGGACGCAUCACUGGUGUUCGGGUUGUCAUGCCAAUGGCACUGCCCGGUAGCUAAAUGCGGAAGAGAUAAGUGCUGAAAGCAUCUAAGCACGAAACUUGCCCCGAGAUGAGUUCUCCCUGACUCCUUGAGAGUCCUGAAGGAACGUUGAAGACGACGACGUUGAUAGGCCGGGUGUGUAAGCGCAGCGAUGCGUUGAGCUAACCGGUACUAAUGAACCGUGAGGCUUAACCUUACAACGCCGAAG
rnacentral:rRNA from 1 species